UACGUAGGGGGCUAGCGUUGUCCGGAAUCAUUGGGCGUAAAGCGCGUGUAGGCGGUCCGGUAAGUCCGCUGUGAAAGUCGGGGGCUCAACCCUCGAAUGCCGGUGGAUACUGUCGGGCUAGAGUGCGGAAGAGGCGAGUGGAAUUCCGUGGUGUAGCGGUGAAAUGCGCAGAUAUCAGGAGGAACACCAAUUGCGAAGGCAGCUCGCUGGGACGUUACUGACGCUGAGACGCGAAAGCGUGGGGAGCGAACAGG
rnacentral:rRNA from 1 species